rnacentral:rRNA from 1 species
GAUGAACGCUGGCGGCGUGCCUAACACAUGCAAGUCGAGCGACCACACGAGAAGCUUUCGCCCCUACCGUUGGCGACUGACGGGUGAGUAACACGUAGAUCACCUACUACUUAUUCUGGGAUAACUUCGUGAAACCGGUGAUACUACUGGCUCAUACAUUCAACCGCUUGGUUCAAUAGUUAAUGACGGCUUUGCCGUCUCUUUUAGCUGGAUCCGCGUCGCAUUAGCUAGUUGGUAAGGUAACGGCUUACCAAGGCUACGAUGCGUAGCCGACCUGAGAGGGUGAUCGGCCACACUGGAACUGAGACACGGUCCAGACUCCUACGGGAGGCAGCAGUAGGGAAUCUUCGACAAUGGGCGAAAGCCUGACCGAGCCAUGCCGCGUGAGUGAUGAAGGUCUUCGGGUUGUAAAGCUCUUUUAUUAGGAAAGAACAAAUGUAGAUGUAUACAUGGAUGUUCUGACGGUACCUAAAGAGAAAGCAACGGCUAACUUCGUG